GGGAGACGCAGGGACAGGGAGACGAGAUAAAGAGACGCACAGAGGAGGAGAUGCAGCGAGGGACAGGCGCCGAGAUGGGGAGGACAGGGAGCGGUCGGGGUGAUGGAACAGAGGGAGAGACAGGAACGGAGGACGAGAGAGAUGGAAGGGAGAGAGACAGAGGGAGAGAGAAAUGGAGGAGAGACAGAGGGAGAGACGGGCAGAGGUAGAGAGAGAUGGAGGGGAGAGAGAGGGGGAGACGGAGAGAGAGAGAUGGAGGAGAGACAGGCAGAGACAGAGGGAGAGACAGACACAGCAGAGGGAGGUGGAAGGGAGAGGUGGGGAAGAAACACCAGAGGAAGAGGUGAAACAGGGAGAGACGCAGAGAUAGGGCGAGACAGAGAUAGGAAGAAGUGGAGUAUGGGAUUGGGGGAGACGCAAAGACGAGGGUGGAUAAUGGGGUCAGGGGAAGAUACAGAGGUAAGAGGGGAGAGAGAGGAAGAUAGACAAGGUGGGGAUGGGGACACCCACAGAGAUGGGAUCAAGAUAGGAGCAGAGAGAGGCCCAGGGAGACGGGGAGGGAAAGAGCGGCAGGAAGAAGGAGAGAGACGGAAGCAGCAGAGACGGGGAGAAGACGGAGAGAGAGAGGACGGAGUGACAGAAACAGGAAUGAGGGAGGCCCAGGGAGAGGAUGAUAGAGGCGGGAAGAGAUGCAGGAAGGCGGGAGAGAUAAGCGAGGCAAGAAAGUUGGACAGAGAAGAAGACAGCAAGGCAGGAAGAGGGAGACAGAGACCCCAAGGCCACCAAGAGACACGCGCACAUAAAGGAUGGGGAAACAAUUGAGAUUGAGGGAGGCAGGCAGAGCGGAGCGAAAACAGGAGGACAGAAAUAGCGAAGCAAGGCCAAGAUCGGGACCCCCACCAGGGAGGUGCCCAGUACAGACAUGAAAGUAAGGCGGGGAAGGCGAGUGGCAGGAGGGAGCAGAAAUAAAAGGGAGGAAAAGGGAGAGAAAAAAUGAGAGGGAAAAGGGGUCAGGUGUGUGGGGAGAGAAAGAGAGAAAUUAGUGGGGCACCCCAAGGAGAGAAAAUCCCCACAUGACCUUACUCCUCACCCUGACCACAACCCCUAACCCAUUUUGUCCCCUUAGUCCUGUCCCCAUCCCCUCAUUCUCAAAGCAAGGGAGUCAUGGCCCCAUCUGGGAUGUGGGGUUGGGGGGCACAGCUGUGGAGAGCUGGGUGGGGUGGGUGUGGGGGUCCCUGGCACCCAGCCCAGAGCAAUUUGGUAAAUUAGAGGAAAUACAGCCUCUCUUCCUGUGCCCCCUGUUGAAUACUAGCCGCCUGGGGUGGUUGGGCUGGGAGCCAGGCUCCUGGGUCCUGCCUGGGACUGAGGGAGGAGGGCACUGGGAGUCUGGACUCCUGGUUCCCAGAGAAGGACUGGAGUCCGCACUAGGGGCUUCCAGAAGGGGUGAGGGUCCAGACAAGGAAGGGUUCUCUCCUGGCUGUCAUGCUCCUGUCUGGUUGCCAUGGUAGCGCAGGCCUCGUCCACCCCACAGACAGCCAGGGCGGGGGAAAGGUCCACCACCCCUCCCCUGCCUCGAGGCCACAGCCCGUCCCCUCUGCCCACCACCUCACCUUCCCAGAGAUCUCGGGCCCCUGUCUCCCCAGGGAAGGGGUUGGGGGCUCCUAGUAUGCCCAUCCCUCCCCGAUCCUGGCUUCUCUUCGCUCCUCCUUUCCAUUGCCCUUCCCCAAGCAGCUGGCUCAAUCAGCGCUCAGAAUAACCCCCCCACUCCGCCCCAAAAUAACCCACAGCUGUGGCCUGGCCCCCGCGGGGUUAACACUCACGCUCCCCUCCAUUCCCAGUGGCUGCUCACCCUCCAGCCCCUCCUCUGCCUCUCCCAGACCCACCCCUACCUGGCUUCUGCUCUUAGGGACCCCGCGUCCCACUCCCUACUGAGGCCCAGGAGGGCAGCCCCCGGCCCCACCCUUCUCACGGGGGCUGCAUGCUCAGUUCCUAACCACAGGGAUUAGGGAGAGCAGCCUCCCCCACUCCAGGGCCUGAGGAGGGGCAUCCCCAGUCCUCCAGGACUCUGAAGGCCCAACCCCCAGAACCCACGCCCUCAGGGAUCACAGAGUCCAGCCUCUGGACAACCCCCCGCUCCCCCCGCCUCCAUCUCUACCUCCUCAUGAGCCUCCGUUUCCACUUCCAUCUGCAUAGGGCUAAAGUCCCCAACACUCAUCUCCUGCCCUGUCAGGGACUCAGGAGACUGAGCUCCCAGCCUGCCUUCCUCAGACGGAAGCGCUAUCCCCUACCUCCUCCCGUAAAGACCCAGGAGUCCUUCUGGCAGCCCCUUCCUCCCCCAGGCCUUGGGAGUCUGGGCAUUCGGUCCUGUUCUUUCCCAGGACCCAGGAGGCCAGGCCCCUCCUGCCCCAAGACUCUGGAACUCCAGUGCCCAGCCUCCUCUCCCUGCAGGAACCAAGAGUCCAGGUCCCCAGCUCCCCUCUUCCCCCAAGGACCCAGGAGUCCGGGUUCCGGCUCCUGUCCUCCCUUAAGGAUCCCCUUUUGGUUUCAAACCCUAUCCUUCCCAACAUCCUGGGUGCCCCCCCACCGAGCUCUGGCCUCCCUAGUCACCCCACUUAGAUCCUGUACAUAGCACAGCCUGUCCCCAAGCGGGGAGGAGGAGGAGGGUGCCAGAAAUUCCUAGGGUGUCCCUGUCUUCAUUGCCCCCCACAGCAUCCAACAGAGAAGAGAGGAGCGGCCACUUCGAUCAACAGCUCCCCCCACAACCUCGAGUUGUGCUGCAGACGGCAUCCCGUUUCCUCCCCCCUCACCUCCCAACACACACACACAACAUCGGUCUCUCCCCACCCGAAUCCUGAUGCUUGGAAGAGGCUGGAAGGGUGUUCCAGAACCUUGAGGAAGGGGUGGGAGCUUGGGGCGAGGGGUGCUGGGGGCCUGGAUGCCCUCAAGGUCCUUGGCGGGGGUAUUAAUAGCAGACUCAUAGCUCUGACAUGGGAGGGGAGAGCGAGAGGAGAGAGGGAGAGGACCGGCUCGCGAUGGGGGGACUGAUGCAGGGAGGGGGGUACAGGGAGAAGGUGAGAUAGAGAGAUGGAGGCACAGGGAUAUGGGGCAUCAGGUAUGUGGGGAUGGGGAGAGGGAGCCAAGUGUCAGAGAAAUGGGGGCGUGAAAGGUCUGAGGUGUAGGGACUCAGGAAAAAGGGGCUCAGAGAGGGAGAGAGAGAGGGUGGAGGAGAGUCCCUGAGGGACAGGGGAGCUAGGUGGGGGUCAAGACCCCUGCCCACCGUUCAAACCCCCUCCCUCCACGAGGCUUCUUGCCAACUUCCUCUGUCCUAGAUUUGGGGGUCCACAUUCCCACCACCAUCCCUGCAUCCCCUGUCCCCGCCUUACCUUUUCAUGACCCUGUUCUGUUGGGGGGAUGGCGGGGGGGCCAGGACCGGAACCCGGCGUCCAGCGACCCCAAGAUUCCGAGGAGGGCUCAGAGAGCCGAUGUCGGGGGGCAGGCCCCGGGGCGGCGGCAGUGGUGGUGGCGGCAGCAGCGGCAGCCCGGACCUCCUGUCUGUCCCUGGCUCCGUCUCUCCUUCCUCUUCCUUGGUCCUGUCCUGCCCUGUCUCUCCCCCAAGGUUGCGGCCACCUGGACUAGGCGAGGACGUGGCUACACAUGUUGCUCUGGAAGUUGGGCCCCGGACAUUGCAGAGGCUGUCGGGGUGUCCUCUUGCCGCCCCGACCCCGUGGGGAUCCCCCCUCCGCCCACCCGGGGUGCCCCCCUCUGCCGCUUCAGCCCCGGCUCCUCCCCCCUUUCCAUGUGUCCAGUCCCGCCUCUCCCUGGCUCACUCGCACCCCCGCUUUGUGCCCUCAGCCCCCCCACCCCCCCUUCCAGCGUCUGUGUCUAUCUGUCUGUCUGGGUCACCUCUGAAGCUAGUGGCUGGUGUGUGCGUGUGAGGAGCGGGAGAUUGCCUGCUUGGGGAACUGCUUGCCCCUUCCUCGCUUGGCCACCUCUAGACCCCCCCUUGACUCCCCCACUCUCAAACACAGGCAGAAACACACAUACACUCACGCACACACGCACGAUCUCACUUCCCUGGGAUUCCCCCUCAACACCCCCAGAGCUUGAGGAGGGACACACACACAGACACACACACACAGAGUGGGGGGUCUAAUGGGGGCCAGGCUGCCACUGCUGAUAGGGGCUGUUUGGACAGACAGGAGGACACAGGCAGCCGGGGACGCCCAGACGCCUGGCCGGACGCAGGCAGGAGGCACAGAACCCAGCCAGCCCCAGACACCCGGACACACAGAUCCUCACCGGGCAGAUGGCAGACGCUCGAGAGACCCCUGGGGGCCGGGCCGACCUACCCAGGCAACACCCCCAGCAGGCACCGGUGGCCGAGGGAGGCUGCGGGAGGCUGCGGGCGAGGGUGGCGGCGGCGGCCGCGGCUUGGAGGAGCUGGAGCGGGAGGGACUCACACACUCGCUGUGUUCUCGCACACACACACUCACUCGGGAUGCGAUUAACAUUCAGUCCCCGUCUGCCACUGCCGGGAGACCCACAGCCCCCCCUCCUGGCCUCCCUGGGGACCCCUUCUCCUGCCAGGCUUGGGGAGGGGGCCGCCCCCCACCCCUAGCUACCAGCCUCUGCCUUCCUCCUGGGACAAGGGAGUGAGGGGCUGAAAAUAAAAAGGGAGGAAGAAGUCAGGCUGGGGACAGGCAGGCAGGGACUCAGAACCCGGUAUGGAGACACCAGCUUCAGAGCUAGACUCCAGGGCUGGGGGUUGCUGCCCUCUGCCCCCGCCCUGCCUUGAGGCUCUGGAAACAGGAGGCCUUUCCCUGACUUCAGUGUUCGCCACACUAAGACCCAAGCUGUGGCUUUUAUUGCCCCAGAAGGCCAGGCCUGAAAACCAGGUCUCGACCCUGGUCCCAGGAGUCCCACCCCCCAGCCCCUCCUCCCUCAGACCCAGGAGUCCCCUUCUCUACUGGGACCCAGGAAUUUGGGGACCGCCUCCAAGUCGGAGUCUCUUUUAAGGACUCAGUCAUCCCGACUCUCCCCCGUACAAGCCACCCUCAGGGACCCAAGACUCGUGGAUGUCACCCUUGGGCACCCCGUCCUUCCAGCCCUCUGAAGAAAUCAACACGCCUGCACCCCUUCUUUUAUUGAGGGACCCUGGCCUCCAUCAUCUGUGGGUACCCCAUCAUCCGGAAGGGAAGCCACGUCUGUCCCCUCAUAGAUGCAGGAGUCCAGACCACAGGCUGUUCCCCGGGGGUCCCACACCCAGAUGCCCAGCAUUCCCCUCCUGCUAGAGGGCUGGGCCCGGCACUUUUAUAAAGCCACCCGUGGGGCUCUGGGGUAGAGCGUGGGGCAGGACACCGGGGCCUCUGAGGGUGGAAGAGGGUGUGUGUGUGUGGGCAGGGCAGAAACUCUGGAGCAGGGGGGAAGCCAGGGCCAGGGGCUCCUGAGGUAGUUUGGGUCAGAGUUUUGGCCUUGAGCCUCCUGGGUGAGGCUCCUGUUUCCUUCAUCCUCAAGGUCUGGGAGAACAGGGUGAGGUGCACAUUCCUGAAAAAGAAGAGAAUCAGGGCCUAAAUCUGUGGGUCGUAAAGGGAGAAACUGUAGAUCUAGAUUCUUAAGGUUAGGAUGUUUGAUCCAUAAGAUGGUGGGGGUGGGACCCUAAGUUCCAAGGAACAGCGUCCUAG
rnacentral:lncRNA from 1 species